GGAUGCGCAGCGGGCAGGGUCCAGGCCGGUCGGCCCGCGGGCCACAAGCUCUGCUGGGGCUGCCCCAGCGCGGGGACCGGGACGGGGCGCGGGGGCCAGGUGCGGCCGGGCCUCACCUCCACGGCUUGGCCCAGCUCCAGGUCGAAGCCCACCACACACACGCAAUGCAGCCAGGCUGAGAAGCCGUCCCAGCGCAGCAGGCCCCGGCUGCGGCCCUCGUCCUCUUCAACGUCCUCUGGCGCGUCUCCCGCCGCCACCACGGCCGGCGCCUCGCGUUCCUCGUCCGCUGCCCCCGCCUGACCCAGCGGCCCGCGGGAGCCGGGCCCCGAGCCUGCCAGGCCCCGCAGAGCCAUCCGCCGCCCCCUGGCUGUUUGCGCCGCCUCCACUGCGGACCGCGCUACAGAGCGCGCUCGGCUCCGCGCAGACGCAGCCACAGCUGCCGCAGCCGCGGGGGACGGGCUCAGCCGGGGCGGGGCCGCGGCCCAUGUGACCCUGGGAGCCCGGCUCUGCAUGGAUCCUCCUGUACCGGCCUCCCGGAGUAAAAUAUGUCGCGCAGGCCCUUGACUGGGCUUGUGAAGCCUCCUUGCUUUAAAGCUCUUCAAGACUGAAGCAGUGAAUCCUGGAAUCCUCCUUCGCAGUCCAACGACCAAGGAAUGAAUUAUUCUUGGAAUGACCCCGUUCAUAAUUAUAAGGUGGGCCUCAUCCAAUCCAUUGGAGACAUAAUAGAACAAGAAAGGCUGAAUAAAGGAGGAUUCCCUCUCUGCCUGACUGUCUUAGAGCUGGGACAACAGUCUUCUCUUGCCUUAGAAAAAGACUGCUGAAUGAAAAAUAAAUGUCUUUACUUGUCUUCAGGAGAAAGAUGGAAAUACUCCGAAGACCACUGCAUUGCCUGCAAGUCCUUCAGCAACUGAAACCACUUUUCUGUGCCCUUCUUUCUUGACCACCUCUCCUUAUGCUCCAGUAAUACAGACCUACUUGUAAUUCCCUUAAAGUCCUUUCCUCCCGAGUCUCUGGGUGUUUGUAAUGUUUCCUUGGCCUAAAAUUUCAUUAUCCCAUUACUAUCAGACUAGCUGGCCUACUCCUACUCAUUUUUCAUCUCAGUUUAAACUAUUCCGCCAUGCUCCCAUUCCUCUUGAUAAACUCAUUACAGCAAGAAUCUUAUUGUGUCAUCAACUAAAUUGUAAGUAACUCAAGGGAGUCUUUCUUUUUUAAUUGUUGUAUUUCCAGAGCCUGUCGCAGUAGCUGUUUCCCACAUUCAAAUUAAAUAUUUAUAGAGUGAAUGAAUGACAAGAAUGCAUAAGUGACUUAUAAGUUCAUGCACAGAACUCAUUAGGGGAUGUGGCGGGUUCUAUAUUACUUUACUCCACAGAAGCCUAAAAGUUACCACAAGU